rnacentral:tRNA from 1 species
GCCUGGCUGGCCCUGUCAGUAGAGUGUGUGACUCUUGAUCUCAGGAUCAUGAGUUCAAGCCCCAUGUUGGGUG